GACGAACGCUGGCGGCGUGCCUAAUACAUGCAAGUAGAACGCUGAAGGAGGAGCUUGCUUCUCUGGAUGAGUUGCGAACGGGUGAGUAACGCGUAGGUAACCUGCCUGGUAGCGGGGGAUAACUAUUGGAAACGAUAGCUAAUACCGCAUAAGAGUAGAUGUUGCAUGACAUUUGCUUAAAAGGUGCAAUUGCAUCACUACCGGAUGGACCUGCGUUGUAUUAGCUAGUUGGUGGGGUAACGGCUUACCAAGGCGACGAUACAUAGCCGACCUGAGAGGGUGAUCGGCCACACUGGGACUGAGACACGGCCCAGACUCCUACGGGAGGCAGCAGUAGGGAAUCUUCGGCAAUGGACGGAAGUCUGACCGAGCAACGCCGCGUGAGUGAAGAAGGUUGUCGGAUCGUAAAGCUCUGUUGUAAGAGAAGAACGAGUGUGAGAGUGGAAAGUUCACACUGUGACGGUAUCUUACCAGAAAGGGACGGCUAACUACGUG
rnacentral:rRNA from 1 species